GACCCCUUAUCGGGGUUGCGGACAGUGCCUGGUGGGUAGUUUGACUGGGGCGGUCUCCUCCCAAAGCGUAACGGAGGAGCACGAAGGUGGGCUAAUCACGGUUGGACAUCGUGAGGUUAGUGCAAUGGCAUAAGCCCGCUUGACUGCGAGAAUGACAAUUCGAGCAGGUGCGAAAGCAGGUCAUAGUGAUCCGGUGGUUCUGAAUGGAAGGGCCAUCGCUCAACGGAUAAAAGGUACUCCGGGGAUAACAGGCUGAUACCGCCCAAGAGUUCAUAUCGACGGCGGUGUUUGGCACCUCGAUGUCGGCUCAUCACAUCCUGGGGCUGAAGUCGGUCCCAAGGGUAUGGCUGUUCGCCAUUUAAAGUGGUACGCGAGCUGGGUUUAGAACGUCGUGAGACAGUUCGGUCCCUAUCUGCCGUGGGCGUUGGAGAAUUGAAAGGGGCUGCUCCUAGUACGAGAGGACCGGAGUGGACGAACCUCUGGUGUUCGGGUUGUGUCGCCAGACGCAUUGCCCGGUAGCUAAGUUCGGGAUCGAUAACCGCUGAAAGCAUCUAAGCGGGAAGCGAGCCUUGAGAUGAGUUCUCCCUGAUACUUUAAGUAUCCUAAAGGGUUGUCGUAGACUACGACGUUGAUAGGCAGGGUGUGUAAGCGUUGUGAGGCGUUGAGCUAACCUGUACUAAUUGCCCGUGAGGCUUAACCAU
rnacentral:rRNA from 1 species